GUCAAAGCACUUUUUGGCACUUACAAAAUCUUUUUUGUAUUCCCACAAAACCCAUCUGAUGUUCAUUUUGUUGGAAAAAUUAUUCGCAGCUUCUUGAGUGUUCUACUAGGAUGAUCAAUUUGAGGAGGUUGUGAGGAAAACAACGAACCAAGUUAACCUAACAGUGUGUAUUUUAGCAAGACCAAGCAAAUGGCGAGCAACUCAAGCUCAAAUAGAACUGAUCAAAUGAUGAC